AUUAAAGAUAAUACUUUUUUUGGUGUAGCCUUUUUUGAAAAAUCCUAAAUUGCCCUUGCAAGUUUAACAACUAUCUCACGUACUAUUCAAAAACAAGACUGCUACCUUUCUCAUAAGAUACAACCGCUGCCAUACAAAUAUGACUACUAAAUAAAAUACACCACAACACCGAAACCCGAAUAAAAAAUGCAACGGAAGAAUGUGGAGAAGAUAAAGUUCCUCACAUGCUGUAAUUUUUCUAAAAGUGUCCAUUUGUAACAAUAGUAAAGAGGAACAAAUCAAAAGCCGGAGGCAAGCACGAUAGGCUAGCGGGAACCAAAUAUUGUGGUGACGGUGCUAUGGAUACUUUCUACAGUUUAUUUCUUCCUUUUUUCUUCUUUUGUGUUAUUUGUUGUCCUAAUUAGGUAUAAAAAUGUUUUAAAUAAUCAAAUAUACUUUCUUCUUCUUUA